rnacentral:rRNA from 1 species
AGUGAACGCUGGCGGUAGGCCUAGCACAUGCAAGUCGAACGGCAGCACAGUAAGAGCUUGCUCUUACGGGUGGCGAGUGGCGGACGGGUGAGGAAUACAUCGGAAUCUACUUUUUCGUGGGGGAUAACGUAGGGAAACUUACGCUAAUACCGCAUACGACCUACGGGUGAAAGCAGGGGAUCUUCGGACCUUGCGCGAUUGAAUGAGCCGAUGUCGGAUUAGCUAGUUGGCGGGGUAAAGGCCCACCAAGGCGACGAUCCGUAGCUGGUCUGAGAGGAUGAUCAGCCACACUGGAACUGAGACACGGUCCAGACUCCUACGGGAGGCAGCAGUGGGGAAUAUUGGACAAUGGGCGCAAGCCUGAUCCAGCCAUACCGCGUGGGUGAAGAAGGCCUUCGGGUUGUAAAGCCCUUUUGUUGGGAAAGAAAAGCAGCAGGUUAAUACCCCGCUGUUCUGACGGGACCCAAAGAAUAAGCACCGGCUAACUUCG